GAUGAAGAACGUAGCAAAAUGCGAUAAGUAAUGUGAAUUGCAGAAUUCAGUGAAUCAUCGAAUCUUUGAACGCACAUUGCGCCCGCCAGUAUUCUGGCGGGCAUGCCUGUUCGAGCGUCAUUUCAACCCUCAAGCACAGCUUGGUGUUGGGACUCGCGUUAAUUCGCGUUCCCCAAAUUGAUUGGCGGUCACGUCGAGCUUCCAUAGCGUAGUAGUAAAACCCUCGUUACUGGUAAUCGUCGCGGCCACGCCGUUAAACCCCAACUUCUGAAUGUUGACCUCGGAUCAGGUAGGAAUACCCGCUGAACUUAAGAAUAUCAAUAAGCGGAGGA
rnacentral:misc_RNA from 1 species